ACACUGAGUUCAGUUCAGGGCAUCUAUCUUCCCUCUUCUGUUAAACUCUGGGUCAUUGAAACACAGGCUAGGGGAGAUGAUGGGAUACAAAGUGUUAGUCUAUUAAUUUAUUUCUCAGUCUAAAUUA
ensembl:snoRNA